CAGUUGUGUUUGAGAUGCCUGUCAGACGAGGAGUGGGCAGUUGUAUCCAAGAAUCUGGAGUGGAGCGGAGAAGCCUCACCUGGAUUGGAUGGAAUCAGCCAGUUCUGCCAGGACAAAUGAGUGGUGCGCCCUCUUGAAUUUUCAAGUCAGACAUCAGCACAAAUAAUUAUGUGGAGGCAGAGCUUGGGCCACAAAGAUGUUCACACCAUUUCCUCUAGUAAAGGUGGGGAAAAAGAAAGUGGAACCCACCUGGGGCUUGCCAUCUAAGCAAUGGGAGUCAGCCCCUGGUGCUCCGAGAAUAUAUAUUCCCCACAGGACGUACAUGGCUCGAGGGGAACACUGGAGCGUGAACUCAGGGCCUGCACUGCGCUGGGUCCAGCAUCAAGACCAGCGUGGUCCCUGCCCCUGUGGGGUGUGCCUUGGCCCCGGCUGCCGUGACGAAAUACCAGACUGGCAGGCUCAGACCACAGACGUUUAUGUCACACAGUCCUGAAGGCUGGAAGUCCGAGAUGAAGAUGCCUCUGCUUUAGCUCUGGGGGCAACUGUGAAACUGAAGAGGGCCAUUGUGGCCAAGAUAUACCAAGCUGGAAUUGAAAGGACAAAUAGUAGCAGCCACCUGGAGAGGAGUCCCAUGGCCUCCCUUCUCCAUGGAAGUGACUGUGAUCCCUCCAUCCAUCUUCCAAAGGGAGGGAAACUGCCCCCCCCAAACAGAC